rnacentral:snRNA from 1 species
AGACUUGGCAGGGGAGAUAGCAUGAUCACAAAGGUGGUUUUCCCAGGGCCAGAUUUAUUCACUGCGCUCUGGAUGUGCUGACCCCGACGACUUCCACCCAAGGGGGAAGCUUGACUGCUUAGUUUGUUGUAGCAGGGGACUGUGUUCACACUUUCUCUGG